GCUGGGCGUGGUGGCGGGUGCCUGUAAUCCCAGCUACUCAGGAGGCUGAGGCAGGAGAAUCGCUUGAACCCAGGAGGCAGAGGUUGCAGUGAGCCAAGAUGGCGCCACUGCACUCCAGCCUGGGUGACAAAGUGAGACUCCAUCUCAA
rnacentral:SRP_RNA from 1 species